GAUGAACGCUGGCGGCGUGCUUAACACAUGCAAGUCGAACGGAAAGGCCCAAGCUUGCUUGGGUACUCGAGUGGCGAACGGGUGAGUAACACGUGGGUGAUCUGCCCUGCACUUCGGGAUAAGCCUGGGAAACUGGGUCUAAUACCGGAUAGGACCACAUUUUGGAUGGUGUGGUGGAAAGUUUUUCGGUGUGGGCUGAGCUCGCGGCCUAUCAGCUUGUUGGUGGGGUAAUGGCCUACCAAGGCGUCGACGGGUAGCCGGCCUGAGAGGGUGUACGGCCACAUUGGGACUGAGAUACGGCCCAGACUCCUACGGGAGGCAGCAGUGGGGAAUAUUGCACAAUGGGCGCAAGCCUGAUGCAGCGACGCCGCGUGGGGGAUGACGGCCUUCGGGUUGUAAACUCCUUUCGCUAGGGACGAAGCGCAAGUGACGGUACCUGGAGAAGAAGCACCGGCUAACUACGUG
rnacentral:rRNA from 1 species